rnacentral:tRNA from 8 species
GCGGGUGUAGCUCAAAGGUAGAGCAGCAGCCUUCCAAGCUGAGGACGAGGGUUCGAUUCCCUUCACCCGCUCCA